CAUCCCUCAAUGAGCGGGAUAUUUUGUCACUGUUGGAUGCUGCAAAAUCAAAAUGCCAUCAACUACAAGAGAUUCCCGUGCUUUCACCAACGCCACUUUCAGCAUCACGGUCGCUCCUCUUCCAACCGACGCCACCGAGCUCUACCUUCCAACCGAGGCGACGAACGGAAGAAGUUCGUCUUCCCGAAAUAGAGUUACCAACGAACCGAAGGCGACGGAGGCGGGCGAGCAGAGGCAACAGACUACCUCCGCCGUCCGAAUCCAUGGGAACCGAUGACGUACCCUUCGGGUGAACCAUUCUCUCCCGAGGUUUUGGGCUUCCUUCGGCGUGCUAUGGAUCGUGUAAAGCCUGGCACAUCCGAAUUGUAUUAGUUGAUUUGAUACUUGAGCUGGAUUUUGGAUUCGAUAACAUUUGGUGCUGCAUUUGCGUGGGAACUCGAAGAAUGUGUUGUUGAAUUUGUUCGAGAAGUGUUGAAUUAGUUUUUCUUCGUAAGUUUAGUCCGUGGGAUGCUUGGUAGGGAAUUCAUUGGUAAA